ACAAGCAGCGGAGCGUGUGGUUAAUUCGAUGCAACGCGAAGAACUACCAGGUUGACAUGCUUAAAGUAGAAACUCGAAAGAGGGACGACCGUAUCCAAUCGGGAAUUUGCACAGGUGCUGCAUGGCUGUCGUCAGCUCGUGCCGUGAGGUGUUAGGUUAAGUCCUGCAACGAGCGCAACCCUCGUCGCUAGUUAAAUUCUCUAGCGAUACUGCCCGUAUAACGCGGAGGAAGGUGGGGAUGACGUCAAGUCAGCAUGGCCCUUACAUCCUGGGCUACACACACGCUACAAUGGGUGAUACAACAGGUUGCAAUAGAGUGAUCUGGAGCCAAUCCAAAAAAUCAUCCUCAGUUCGGAUUGUAGGCUGCAACUGCCUACAUGAAGUUGGAGUUGCUAGUAAACGCAGGUCAGCACACUGCGUUGAAUACGUCCUCGGGCCUU
rnacentral:rRNA from 1 species